AUUGAACGCUGGCGGCAGGCCUAACACAUGCAAGUCGAACGAGUGGCGGACGGGUGAGUAAUGUCUGGGGAUCUGCCUGUUGGAGGGGGAUAACUACUGGAAACGGUGGCUAAUACCGCAUACUAUCAGAUGAACCCAUAUGGGAUUAGCUGGUUGGUGGGGUAAAGGCUCACCAAGGCGACGAUCCCUAGCUGGUCUGAGAGGAUGACCAGCCACACUGGAACUGAGACACGGCCCAGACUCCUACGGGAGGCAGCAGUGGGGAAUAUUGCACAAUGGGCGCAAGCCUGAUGCAGCCAUGCCGCGUGUAUGAAGAAGGCCUUAGGGUUGUAAAGUACUUUCAGCGGGGAGGCGUUACCCGCAGAAGAAGCACCGGCUAACUCCGUGCCAGCAGCCGCGGUAAUAC
rnacentral:rRNA from 1 species